rnacentral:lncRNA from 1 species
GGGGGGGGGGGGGGGGGGGGGGGGGGGGGGGGGGGGGGGGGGGGGGGGGGGGGGGGGGGGGGGGGGGGGGGGGGGGGGGGGGGGGGGGGGGGGCCCGCGGGCGGCGGCUGCGGGCGGCCCUCGAGGGUGGGGGGCUCGUCAGAGCCCCUCCGGGGUGCUCCCCGAGCUGGGGGUACCCUCGUGUCCCCUCACGCGGUCUCUGUGUGUGCCCCCCGGCUUGGUGUCCAUUUACGUCCCCUCACACGGGCUCUAGUUACAGAGGGUACCCCCUCCCUUCUGGAUGUGUGUCCCCUCAUUUCCUCUCAGAUCUUGUCUGGGUACUGACGCUGGUGUGUGUCCCCUCCCGUCCCCUCACACUCUCAGUGUGUGUCCCCUCCCGUCCCCUCACACCCUCAGUGAGUGUCCCCUCCUGUCCCCUCACACUCUCAGUGUGUGUCCCCUCCUG